rnacentral:sRNA from 1 species
AAAAUGUAAGGCUAUUGGGUCCUGCAGCCUGACCCAAGAAGCUAAGGACACUAGGACCUUAGAAGAGGUAGUGUGCUUUCGUUCACGGAGUUGAGAGCUUUCCCUUCAUCCGAUUAGAUUUUCGUUUUGGACGGAUCCUGUUGAACUUGCUUCUGUGCAAGAGUACUGUUUUGGGGUUUCCUCUAAAGAGUGUUGUGCUUGUAACCACUAAGAUGAAAAAGAGGUGUCUGUGGAGCAAGCAUUGGAAGAAGGUGAUGAUGCAGCUUAGUAUGUCUAGG